ACCGUGCGCUUGCCGAAUCCCGUCCGCGGGAACCGGGGACCCAACACCUGGGGUGAAUCGGGCAGCCGUCAGGCCCGUAGGAGACCUUCCUGCUCCGAACCCGUCAGCUAACCCGGUAGGCGAGAGGGAAGGAAAGG
rnacentral:sRNA from 2 species